rnacentral:rRNA from 1 species
UGAGCAAUCUGCCCUUCUCAUCGGAAUAAGCGUUGGAAACGACGUCUAAUGCCGAAUACGACCUCCUUUCGCAUGAUCGGAGGUGGAAAGCUCCGGCGGAGAGGGAUGAGCUCGCGGCCUAUCAGCUAGUUGGUGUGGGUAAUGGCCCACCAAGGCGACGACGGGUAGCCGGCCUGAGAGGGUGACCGGCCACAUGGGACUGAGACACGGCCCAGACUCCUACGGGAGCAG